AUUGAGGGGGACAAACACUGUGUCUUCUUCCAAGAAAAGACUCUUUCUUCACUUUCUGGCAGAAGAGAGGCCGUGAUGGAUGAUCAGGUGGACCAAAGCUGAGUAGCACUAUCAGCCCAUGUACUGGGUCACAGUACUCAGUGCAGGGAGCCAGGCCCAAUCCUGUGGGACAGGAGCUGCGAUUGUGAAAUGGAUGCAGCCUUCUUGGAUGUGUUAGCCACCAGCUUCCAAAAUGAGACAGCCCAGCAAAGAAGCAGAUGGUUAAUGUAUGUGGAUCUUGGGCUAAGAGUGGAAGGACUGUGAGAUUCUGCCCAAAAGCAGGAGUUGGGAAGGGAUGGCUUUUACAAUCACUCCCUUGGCUCACAUGCCACCAAGAGAUCCUUCUGCACUAGAAAGCAUGUCAUGUGGCUGAUGAAACUGGUUUUGCAUCUGCUUUGCACAAAUCAGCCACCACAGGGAUCACCUGGAUCAGGAACUGGCCAGCAACAGUGACUGAAGAACCACUGAACUGGAGGAGGGGUCAUGUCUUGGAGUAAAGAUUAUAAAGAGCAGGUGGACUAAAAAGCCCAAGAACAUUCUUUGACUGGAAAAGGAAGAUUCCCAAUAAGAGACACAGCAGCAGAUUCCAGAAUUAGCAGACUAUUGAAGGGGAUUCUUUGAAGACAGAGGAAACACCACAGUUCUAAAAAGGCCAUUACUGGUCUUUAAUCUGGAAUGCAUCUUCAAAUGCCACUCCUCUGCAUCACAGGAGAGGUAAUUUAGCUGGGGCAUCCAGCCUACAAAGUUUAAUAGGAGUAUCUGAAUCCCAAAACACAACUCCUAAAAGUGAUGGCAAUUCCGAGCUCAGCUGAGGCCCAUACCUGCUGUUGCUGAAUAUAAAUAUAUGUUUUUAGGUCGCUGUAUGAGCAUAUUUGGAAAGAUCAUUUUGAAGAUAUUCUCUUUCUACAAGACAGACUUGAUUUACACCCUUCCCACCGUUCCCUGAAACUGCUUUUCAAGCAUCAAGAUGGCAACAUGCAGAUCCAGGUUGAUGAAUGAGGUCCUGGCCCCAUCGGGCCCUCCCUUUGAGAAGCACAAAGAAAUGUCACUUUGUGUGCAGUACAAGUGAGAUCAGCUGUUGGAAGGACAUACCGUUCACUCUGAGGAUUCCGUCCCUAUGGUCCUGGACUCUGUGAAGACAUGACGAUGGGGUCAUAUGUCCCCACACCAAUGUGCUGAGGUAAAGAUUCAAAACUAAUUCAGCCUUCAGUUAUGUUAGAGCACAAGGAUCACAGAAAAACUAUCUGUUGGAAAAGCACCCACUAAAUAAUGGUCUCAGGAUCAAUCAUGCCCUACACCAACGGAGCUGCAGCUCUAUAAUUCAGAAGCAGCAGGAGAGGAAAAGCAUCUACGAGUGUCACAGAAGCAGAGUGCCAUCACAUGGGGACCUGCAACUUCUCUGAGGGAAGAAUUGCUGUGUGUGUUGUGCAUGCAGGGAAAAGCUGUAACUGCUGUCUCCCCACUUCCUAUGCAAUAAUGCUAAGAAAAUGAUUCUCCUUCCAAGACCUCUACCAUGGAUUUGUUCAUGGGAUAAAUUGAUUGGGAUCCCCUCACGGGAUUGCUGAGAGGCUUAACUAGUUAAUUAACUAAACUUAAGGGCUGAUACAGUAGGUACAAAUUGUUUCACUGCAGGCUUUCUCUGCUCUGCCUGAUGGUGCAUUCACCUAAGGGAACAGAGACAGUCCUCCCUUUGGCUGUGUCCAGACUCAGGGGGUUUUUCGA